UGUGGUUAUUCCUUAGGUGUUUUCUAAGUUUCUUUUGCUUAUUUCUGUCUAACAUCUAUUUUCUUGUUUGCAUUUACUUAUUUCCUAUGAGAUCGACCUCUGCUUACUCUAUAUAUAAAUAGUUUAGGUAUAGUAUUUUUUAAUUAGUGCAUUCAGCACGCAUUAGCUACUUCUAUUUUAUUCUGGAUUUCUGAUCAAUAAUACAUUCUUUCUUCUCUUCCUAUUUUCCAUUCUCUAUUUCCUAUCUCUAUUUAUCUAUUCUUCUCUUCCUAUUCUAUUCUCUACUCUAUUUUCUCCCCUAUUUACAUAAUGUUAGGG
rnacentral:misc_RNA from 1 species